UACAGGGGGUGCAAACGUUGCUCGGAAUUAUUGGGCGUAAAGCGCGCGUAGGCGGCUACUUAAGUCGGAUGUGAAAGCCCUUGGCUCAACUGAGGAAGUGCACCCGAAACUGAGUGGCUUGAGUACUAAAGAGGGUCGCGGAAUUCCCGGUGUAGAGGUGAAAUUCGUAGAUAUCGGGAGGAACACCGGUGGCGAAGGCGGCGACCUGGGUAGAUACUGACGCUGAGGCGCGAAAGCGUGGGUAGCAAACAGG
rnacentral:rRNA from 1 species